ACGAACGCUGGCGGCGUGCCUAAUACAUGCAAGUCGAACGGUCUUUCUAUGGAAGCUUGCUUCCACUGAGGAGAUAGUGGCGAACGGGUGAGUAACACGUGGGUAACCUGCCCAUAAGAGGGGGAUAACAUCCGGAAACGGGUGCUAAUACCGCAUAGUUUUCUUGAUCGCAUGAUUGAGAAAGGAAAGACGGCCUUUGUGCUGUCGCUUAUGGAUGGACCCGCGGCGUAUUAGUUAGUUGGUGAGGUAACGGCUCACCAAGACGAUGAUACGUAGCCGACCUGAGAGGGUGAUCGGCCACAUUGGGACUGAGACACGGCCCAAACUCCUACGGGAGGCAGCAGUAGGGAAUCUUCCGCAAUGGACGAAAGUCUGACGGAGCAACGCCGCGUGAGUGAAGAAGGUUUUCAAGAUCGUAAAACUCUGUUGUCAGAGAAGAACAAGUUGGAGAGUAACUGCUCCAGCCUUGACGGUAUCUGACCAGAAAGCCACGGCUAACUACGUGCCAGCAGCUGC
rnacentral:rRNA from 1 species